rnacentral:rRNA from 1 species
CCUACGGGGGGCAGCAGUAGGGAAUCUUUCACAAUGGGCGAAAGCCUGAUGGAGCAACGCCGCGUGCAGGAUGAAGGCCUUCGGGUUGUAAACUGCUUUUAUAAGCGAGAAAUAUGAUGGUAACUUAUGAAUAAGGAUCGUCUAACUACGUGCCAGCAGCCGCGGUCAUACGUAGGAUCCGAGCAUUAUCCGGAUUGACUGGGUGUAAAGAGUUGCGUAGGUGGCAUAAUAAGUAGCUAGUGAAAUCUGGUGGCUCAACCAUUCAGACUAUUAGCUAAACUGUUAAGCUCGAGACCGUUAGGGGUAACUGGAAUUUCUAGUGUAGGAGUGAAAUCCGUAGAUAUUAGAAGGAACACCAAUAGCGUAGGCAGGUUGCUGGGACGGUUCUGACACUAAGGCACGAAAGCGUAGGGAGCAAACGGGAUUAGAUACCCUAGUAGUC